AGUCGAGCGAGAAGCUACCUUCGGGUAGUGGACAGCGGCGCACGGGUGAGUAACGCGUACACAAUCUACCUUAUAGAGGAGAAUAGCCCUGGGAAACUGGGAUUAAUGCUCCAUAGUAUUACACUUUGGCAUCAAGGUGUAAUUAAAGCUCCGGCGCUAUAAGAUGAGUGUGCGUACUAUUAGCUAGUUGGUAAGGUAACGGCUUACCAAGGCUACGAUAGUUAGGGGGCGUGAGAGCGUGACCCCCCACACGGGUACUGAGACACGGACCCGACUCCUACGGGAGGCAGCAGUAAGGAAUAUUGGACAAUGGGCGCAAGCCUGAUCCAGCCAUCCCGCGUGGAGGAUGACUGCCCUAUGGGUUGUAAACUCCUUUUAUUUGAGAAGAAACGCCUGGAUUUAUCCGGGCCUGACGGUAUCUUAUGAAUAAGCACCGGCUAACUCCGUGCCAGCAGCCGCGGUAAUACGGAGGGUGCAAGCGUUAUCCGGAAUCACUGGGUUUAAAGGGUGCGUAGGUGGUUUAGUAAGUCAGAUGUGAAAGCCCGGCGCUCAACGUCGGAAUUGCAUUUGAUACUGCUGAACUUGAAUCAGGUUGAGGUGGGCGGAAUGUGGCAUGU
rnacentral:rRNA from 1 species